rnacentral:lncRNA from 1 species
GGGAACGUUCAGGAGAAAACGCUCCAGCAACUCCCAGCCGACCCCGCCCCUCCCCGACCUACCAUAGACGCCGUCCUCCAUGGCGGCUAGGAAGGCCCGCGGGGAGUCCGGGGCGGUCCCGCCAGUCGGGCCUGGAUCCGCGUUGGCCCGCGGGCUCGGGUGAGCCCGCUCAAACGCCCCGGGAGCCACCGCCGCCUCCUCAGCGCCAGUCCUCAGCGCUGAAAAGACUCUCCCUUCGUCGCCCAACCGCCCCUUCAGUAGGGACCGCCCCUCUUUUUGACACUGUCCAAUCCACAGUGGGCGCUUUCGUCCUCCCCGCCCUCGCCACCAAAGGAUCGUUCUCCAGGGCCAACAGCCGUACAAAAAGCGGGUGUAGACACCCGAGUUCAGAGCCAGCCUCCAAGAGUAUCUUACAUCCCAGCGUCUCCUGGAAGGCCGUAUGAUCCAGCACUGGGGAGAGGAGGGAAAUCCCCAGGACUCGAAUGCCCAUCCCACCCUCGGUGUAGUGAGGACUCAUCCUGCUGGAAAGGCCCCUGAAGAACUUCAAGUUCCAAUGUCCCGUUUUUACAGAUGGGGAAACUGACAUGAAGAGGAGUCCAAAGUGACACAGUCAGGCCAGAAAUGUUGCUUCUGAAGUCCUGAGUCCACCUCCUAGCACUGCCAAGCAGUCCACCUGGAGGUGAUGAGAACUUCCAGGCUUUGGUAAUGGACAACUCUGUAUCCCUGGAGCCUUCAUUCCUUUUGGCAUUACAGAACCACAAGAAGUCAUCUAGAAUCAUUGAGAUUCUCAACUCCAUUGGGCAAACUGGAACCAGCAAAAUCUCAGAUAUCUAGAAUUGCCACUGCUUCCUUGACUCUGUGAUCAGUCUACAGCCACAGAAUCCUGAUUCCCUUUGGACAUUCUAGAAUGGCACUUAAAAAAAAAAUAACAACCCACCCAGUGGAUCCUUUCAAAGCAUUGCUUAUUCUC